rnacentral:tRNA from 1 species
GGGCUCGUAGCUCAGUGGCAGAGCGGGCGGCUCAUAACCGUCUGGUCGUAGGUUCGAAUCCUGCCGAGCCCA